rnacentral:rRNA from 1 species
UACGUAGGGGGCUAGCGUUGUCCGGAAUCAUUGGGCGUAAAGAGCGCGUAGGCUGCCAGAUAAGUCCGGUGUGAAAGUCACAGGCUCAACCUGUGAAUGCCGCUGGAAACUGUCUGGCUAGAGUCCGGAAGGGGCGAGUGGAAUUCCUGGUGUAGCGGUGAAAUGCGCAGAUAUCAGGAGGAACACCGAUGGCGAAGGCAGGUCUCUGGGCAUUAACUGACGCUGAGGAGCGAAAGCAUGGGGAGCGAACAGG